GGCAUCUCUGCUGGCCUUUGUUUAUAGGAAGCGCCUUCCCCUUGCUGAGUUGCAGUCCAGCUGCAGAAGGCUCAGGGUGUGAUUAUCAGACUGGCUGUAAAUGGAACACACUGAGGCUUUGUUUGGGCUUGUGGGGAGUUUUUGGCUUGAAAGUCCCUUGGACAGCAAGGAGAUCAAACCAGUCAAUCCUAAAGGAAAUCAAUCCUGAAUAUUCACUGGAAGGACUGAUGUUGAAGCUGAAACUCCAAUACUUUGGUCACGUGAUGUGAAGAGCCGACUCAUUGGAAAAGACCUUGAUGCUGGGAAAGAUUGAAGGCAGAAGAAGGGGAUGACAGAGGGUGAGGUGGUUGGAUGGCAUCAUCAACUCCAUGGACAUGAGUUUGAGCAAAUCUGCACUAUCCAGGAGUUGGUGAUGGAUAGGGAAGCCUGGCGUACUGCACUCCAUGGGGUCCACAAAGAGUCAGACACAACUUAGUGACUGAACUGAACUAAACCAAGCUCACAGGACACCUUGAGGGGGAUGGCUGCCCUCAGGAGACAAGGCCUCCCUCCUAAGUAUCCCAGGCAGCUUCCUCCACCACCCAGCCCCACCUGACCCUCUCUGAACCCAGGCCUGUGGUUUGGCCCAUCUCCUCACCUGGCUCUGCACACACAUGGGUCCCAGAGACUCUGGCUUCUGGGUUUCUUUGAAGACAAUGUGCCUACUUAGAGCAGAUCAUUUUAAAGGUACAUUGCCUUAGAGAAACAGUGAUUUGAGUUUCCUCUACUGUGAACCUAGCAAGGGCUACGCUCUCUGCUGGACGUGUUCCUAUGUCGUAGGCUCGUCCAAGUUUUGUGUUGCUUCUCAUCUGUGAUCAAUUCAACAAAUGUGCAAUAAAUGACUAUCAC
ensembl:lncRNA